GCCUGACACUAUGGUAUGGCUUGAUGCUCAGAGAUACUGCAGACAGCAUUACACAGAUCUGGCCAGUUCUAGAGAUGCAACAGAAAACUCAGUUCUAAUGAAUCUGGUACCAGACUGGACAUGGUUUGGUCUGUUUCGAGACAGAUGCUUGGAAAUCCUAAUAAUGCCUUGAAGAAUGAAAACUGUGGUUAUUUAAAUAACAGUCAGGCUGCUGAUGCAUUGUGCACAAACAUAAUGCCUUUCAUCUGUUACUUAGAUCCACCAUUAAAAAAACAACAAACCAUAAAGAUAGAGGUCCGGUCCAAUCAGGAUCCACAUAAUCCUGCUCUGAAAGUGGCCAUUUUGGAGCAGAUCGAGCAAACACUGAAGAAUCAUGGGCUGUUCAAGAACAUCACAGUGAAAUUUCGAGAGCAACCAGAUGGAAAAAUUUUUUCAAGAAAACUAAAACUACAGAAAAAGAUUAACUCAAUUCUUGAGCUGUUUCUUAAAUGUAGGCUUUUUAGAGCAAGUAGUAUGUUCAUUCUUAGCAAGGGUGAAAACCCCAACCGAGAAACGAUACUAAAAGGGAAUGUGUAGGUUAUGUUCUAUAAUAUUAUUUAUGUAAUGGUGGAAGUAUCAAGCCAAAAUGAUGGUUUAAAAAAAUCUUCCUAAAACUGAUAGAUCUUCCUAAAUUUAUAAAUAUCUGAUUGAAUGCUUGAAAGCAGAAAAGACUGUUUAAAUUCUAAUGUAAAUAAAAA